GACGAACGCUGGCGGCGUGCUUAACACAUGCAAGUCGAACGGAAAGGCCUAGCUUGCUGGGUACUCGAGUGGCGAACGGGUGAGUAACACGUGGGUGAUCUGCCCUGCACUUUGGGAUAAGCCUGGGAAACUGGGUCUAAUACCGGAUAUGACCAUGGGAUGCAUGUCUUGUGGUGGAAAGCUUUUGCGGUGUGGGAUGGGCCCGCGGCCUAUCAGCUUGUUGGUGGGGUAAUGGCCUACCAAGGCGACGACGGGUAGCCGACCUGAGAGGGUGAUCGGCCACACUGGGACUGAGACACGGCCCAGACUCCUACGGGAGGCAGCAGUGGGGAAUAUUGCACAAUGGGCGCAAGCCUGAUGCAGCGACGCCGCGUGGGGGAUGACGGCCUUCGGGUUGUAAACCUCUUUCGCCAGGGACGAAGCUUUCGGGUGACGGUACCUGGAGAAGAAGCACCGGCCAACUACGUGCCAGCCGCCGCUGUAAAAC
rnacentral:rRNA from 1 species